UUCGCAAUGCCCGAAAGGGUGACGAAGCGACGCCGCGUGGGUGAGGAAGGCCUUCGGGUUGUAAAGCCCUGUCAGGAGUUAAGAAAUGUAAGUGCGCUAAUAUCGCAUUUAUUUGACGAAGGCUCCAAAGGAAGCCACGGCUAACUCUGUGCCAGCAGCCGCGGUAAUACAGAGGUGGCAAGCGUUGUUCGGAAUUAUUGGGCGUAAAGAGCACGUAGGUGGAUUUGUAAGUCAGAUGUGAAAGCCUUCUGUUCAACGGGAGAAUUGCAUCUGAAACUACAAACCUUGAGUAUAGGAGGGGAGAAUGGAACUUCUGGUGGAGCGGUGAAAUGUGUAGAUAUCAGAAGGAACGCCGGCGGCGAAAGCGAUUCUCUGGCCUAUUACUGACACUCAGUGUGCGAAAGCUAGGGGAGCAAACGGGAUUAGAUACCCCGGUAGUCCUAGCCGUAAACGAUGGGCACUAAGUAGAGGGGUUUU
rnacentral:rRNA from 1 species